GAAAUGCGAUAAGUAAUGUGAAUUGCAGAAUUCCGUGAAUCAUCGAAUCUUUGAACGCACAUUGCGCCCUCUGGUAUUCCGGGGGGCAUGCCUGUCCGAGCGUCAUUGCGAACCCCUCAAGCACGGCUUGUGUGAUGGGCCCUCCCGCGUCUUGGUCGUCAAGACGGGCCCGAAAAGCAGUGGCGGCUUCGCGGUUAUCCGAUCAGCCAGAGCGUAUGGGGACUUUCUCUCUGUCACACGCCCGCGGCGCGGACCGACGCCUGUCGACCUUUAUUCAUCUUUUUAUCGGUUGACCUCGGAUCAGGUAGGGAUACUCGCUGAACUUAAGC
rnacentral:misc_RNA from 1 species